rnacentral:rRNA from 1 species
CCUACGGGUGGCAGCAGUGGGGAAUAUUGGGCAAUGGGCGCAAGCCUGACCCAGCAACGCCGCGUGAAGGAAGAAGGCCCUCGGGUUGUAAACUUCUUUUGUCAGGGACGAAACAAAUGACGCUACCGGACGAAUAAGCCACGGUUAACUACGUGCCAGCAGCCGCGGUAAUCCGGAGGUGGCGAGCGUUAUCCGGAUUUACUGGGUGUAAAGGGAGUGUAGGCGGGAGAGUAAGUCAGAUGUGAAAUUCCAGGGCUCAACCCUGGAACUGCAUUUGAAACUGUUUGUCUUGAGUGAUGGAGAGGCAGGCGGAAUGCCGUGUGUAGCGGUGAAAUGCGUAGAUAUACGGAGGAACACCAGUGGCGAAGGCAGCCUGCUGGACAUUAACUGACGCUGAGGCGCGAAAGCGUGGGGAGCAAACAGGAUUAGAUACCCCUGUAGUC